CCUACGGGGGGCAGCAGUGAGGAAUAUUGGUCAAUGGGCGGGAGCCUGAACCAGCCAAGCCGCGUGAGGGAAGAAGGUACAGCGUAUCGUAAACCUCUUUUGUCAGGGAACAAAGGCGGGGACUAGUCCCCGGAUGAGGGUACCUGAAGAAAAAGCAUCGGCUAACUCCGUGCCAGCAGCCGCGGUAAUACGGAGGAUCCGAGCGUUAUCCGGAUUUAUUGGGUUUAAAGGGAGCGUAGGUGGAUUGUUAAGUCAGUUGUGAAAGUUUGCGGCUCAACCGUAAAAUUGCAGUUGAAACUGGCAGUCUUGAGUACAGUAGAGGUGGGCGGAAUUCGUGGUGUAGCGGUGAAAUGCUUAGAUAUCACGAAGAACUCCGAUUGCGAAGGCAGUUCACUGGACUGAAACUGACACUGAGGCUCGAAAGUGUGGGGAUCAAACAGGAUUAGAUACCCCAGUAGUC
rnacentral:rRNA from 1 species